CGUCACUGGAUCAACGUAAACAACAACCGGCUCUGGGCGUCUGCUGCCAUUACCACCUUUCACCUGAGGUGUUCUGUCUGGAGAUGUCACCUUCUUCUGCGGUGGCUCCAUCUCUUCUCGACUGUAACGCCUCACUAGGUGCAUGAUGUAAAGCUUACCCAUCCCACGAGGCUCACAGUGAUCAGAGGCACGGGUGUACCGAGGUGCAUCUUCCUCCAGCAUCCUGUUGGCCACAAAACCACCUGGCAUCAGAGAAGACCUUGCCUGAUGGGUUUUUAAGGCUCCUAGUCCUGUGAUCUGUUUUCUGAGUAAGCUUCAAGGUUUCGUUCCUCAUCUCCCACCGUGAGUCUCCCUGCCUUCUCAGCUUCUGGCCCUGGCUUGUGUGAGGUUUUUUUGGAGAACCUUAUUUCUGUUGUCACCUGCCUGUCCACCCUCCUACGUGGGAACGCUUUAACUGAGUCAUCACUUGAGAGCUAAAGGAAAGAAAGGAAACUGCCACCUACCACACUCAUCCUGCCAACCUCCAUCUCAGAGGAGAGACUUACCUCCCCAGCUAAACCACAACCGCUCUGGCUGUAAGUUUCUGAACAAACCCUUCUAAAAGAAAACACCUUGAAAUCUUGAAAUUCUCCUGGGAUAUCCAUAACCUUAACACCUUCCCUUCCAGAGAAGAACCAGUCUCCUGCUGUCAUUGCCCAGGUCCCAGUCUCGCCUUGUUCCUUUUUCUUCACAAAAUAAAUCUGUUAAAACGCUGUCCUGAAUCUGUGGUUGUGUUCUCCUUAGAGUUUAAAGAAACGCUACAUUAUGACAAUCCUUAACCAUGAUUUCUUACUUACAGUAAGUGA